UUCUAAGAGCAUCCACGUAUGCGUUUUUUUAAUGACUGUGGGCCCCGUCUAAUUUUCGGUUUCGAUUGGUCAAUUUGGUUUGGUCUGAUUUGUGUCUUCCUGUUUGGUUUGAUAAAAGUGAAACUCUGCGUUUUGGCUUCACCUAAUUAGGGCUUCAUCGUUAUCCUCAUUCCAGAACUCACCCCUCGCCUUCUCCGCUCAUCUCUUUAUCUCCUCUAUCGUUCAACGUAUUUCUUUUAAUUCGCCAAUAAUUGUUAUUCACAUUAAACCCAAUAACAAUGUGGACCUUUAUGUUUCCUUCACAUCGAUCUAUAAAUAGAAGAGGGUUUGGGAGCAGGAUGAAUCUUCAUCUCCACUCCGCAAGCUCCGUACCCAACCUCUAACCCUCUCUUUCCCAACUCUUCCGGCGUCCCGAUGCCGUCCGGAAUCCACUGCUCUGUUUCGGUAGGCGAGACCACAAUACGAUUCGUGGAAGAUGUCCCUGACAUAUCAUGAGGCUGCGAGAUAGAUUCAGUCAAGAACGCCACUUCUCUUCCGAGAUGGCUCUCCGGCGAGAGAGGACUCGGAUAAACAGAAUAAGCUGGAAAAAAAAGAAAAAAAAACUCACAUGUGAUUAUGGCUGUUGUGGAACGAGGGUCACAGUUUUCCGUUACCUCAUCGACUGGAAUCAAUUACCUUCGCAGUCGAUGAUUCUCACGGAGUAACCAUGAACAAGAAGCCGCUUAACAAUUGCGCGACCAAGGUAGGAAACGCCGUAGCAAAGUUACUUUCAGGAAUCUGACAUUGAGCAGCAGGCAAACAAGACAACAAUUAAAGGAUUUAGAGCCUCAAGCAUUUUAAUCGGACCAAGCUCAAUGAUUUUCAGACAAGUACAAAGAUAGAGACUUUGAGGGAAGAAAUAAGGCUCAUGGUCCAAAGAGAUGGGUCUGCAAGCAAUAGUUUUCAGCCAGUUCACAUCAUUCUUGGAUCUGAUAAACUACACCCUCGGGAAGUGUGGGGUUUGGUUGCACCCAACUGGUGGGAAGCAUGUCAAUGGCAACUAGAGAUGUUGCUAUCAAUAAAUUCAGGGAAGAUCAAAAUUGCAAAAUUUUCUUGAUGAGUUUGAAAGCUGGAGGGGUUGCUCUCAACUUAACAGCCCUUCUAUGUUUAUUCUGAUCGUUUCACGGUUGUUUCCUACGUGACGUUAUACGUAGAUUGUUUAUACGAUUGUUUUAAGUAACUAACGAGAACCUCAUAGUACUAAGAGAUUAAUUACAUAAAACACAAUUUCAAAUU